GGGGGGACAAUCGCAGGUGAACGAACACCAUUUUUCAGUCUCCUUUCCAAAGCACCUAUUCCAACAUCAGUGUUUCACAACAUGACAAGCACAGUGUUCAACAGCAGCCUCCUCACAGGCGGCGCUCUCUGGAGGGACAAUGGACACGUCGCCUAAGUAACGGUACUUGAGAAGUUUGUUAACAGUUGAUGCGGAAGAGAGAGAAUCUUGCCUGUUUUUUUCUGAAGCCCUAAAAAGAUUGUGGGAACAGGGCUCACAGUCCUCUUUUACUGACGUCAUUGCAUGACAUGGAGACAGCCACUAAAAUAAGGAAUCUAAAUAUUCCCUAAGAUGACCUUGCGUCUCGGAUCAACAGCAAACAGCAGCUACUGCGCCUUCCCAGCCGGGCGCUGCUCCCGUCUCACCACAAGGGGGCGAGAGAGACACGCGACAGCGCCGGCCCUCCGAGCCAGGGGCCCACUCCCCAAAGGAGACCGCUCGCGGGCUGCCUUAGGAAGGCAUUGCAUUCUCUGGACAAUAAAAGUGA